CCGAAAUCCCGCUGUUCGCCGAUUUCGUGGACUCACUGCCACGUGCUGAAUUUUAUUACUGAAGAUUGUGUGUGGUUGGGCAGUGCUCGGUGGCGAGCCUCUGCGCUGUCUGCUGUUGCUGUCUGCUGUUGCUGUCUGUUGCUGAUGUUGCUGAUGUUGCCUCCAUAGCAAGAGGUGUAUGGUACCGGCUGUCCUGUUUGGCACCGGCUAUAAGGUGUUUGGCACCGGCUGUCCCGCAGUGCCAGACGCUUGCUGCGCCCGACGGGUGCGGAGGGGGUUGAGCCGAGUGGUGGUGACUAGCGCGCUAAUCCCGUAUUAUUAAGUAUUUUUAAUCCAUACCAACCAAACGGCCCAACGACCCAUCCCCUUUUUUUUUUUCUUUUUAAAUUUUUUGUGUCUCACCCACAAUAAAUUGUUGUCAAUUUAAAUAUCUAUUUUUUUAUUUUGCUCCGGCAAAAAUUUCUUAUUUACAUGGCGCCCGAACAGGGACGUUGUUGGGUCCGUGGAGGUUCUCCCUGGCACUGGUCUAUUGCUCAGUGACGGAUUGGUUGGUCAUCUUAAUUUUUUUUGUUUUUGA